UUGACCUCAAAUCGGGUGA
rnacentral:rRNA from 3 species